rnacentral:rRNA from 1 species
UCCUCCUAAAGAGUAACGGAGGAGCACGAAGGUUGGCUAAUCCUGGUCGGACAUCAGGAGGUUAGUGCAAUGGCAUAAGCCAGCUUGACUGCGAGCGUGACGGCGCGAGCAGGUGCGAAAGCAGGUCAUAGUGAUCCGGUGGUUCUGAAUGGAAGGGCCAUCGCUCAACGGAUAAAAGGUACUCCGGGGAUAACAGGCUGAUACCGCCCAAGAGUUCAUAUCGACGGCGGUGUUUGGCACCUCGAUGUCGGCUCAUCACAUCCUGGGGCUGAAGUAGGUCCCAAGGGUAUGGCUGUUCGCCAUUUAAAGUGGUACGCGAGCUGGGUUUAGAACGUCGUGAGACAGUUCGGUCCCUAUCUGCCGUGGGCGCUGGAGAACUGAGGGGGGCUGCUCCUAGUACGAGAGGACCGGAGUGGACGCAUCACUGGUGUUCGGGUUGUCAUGCCAAUGGCACUGCCCGGUAGCUAAAUGCGGAAGAGAUAAGUGCUGAAAGCAUCUAAGCACG